AUUGAACGCUGGCGGCAGGCUUAACACAUGCAAGUCGGACGGUAACAUAAAGAAGCUUGCUUCUUUGAUGACGAGUGGCGGACGGGUGAGUAAUGCUUGGGAAUCUAGCUUAUGGAGGGGAUAACUACGGGAAACUGUAGCUAAUACCGCGUAGAAUCGGGAGAUGAAAGUGUGGGACCUUCGGGCCACAUGCCAUAGGAUGAGCCCAAGUGGGAUUAGGUAGUUGGUGAGGUAAAGGCUCACCAAGCCGACGAUCUCUAGCUGGUCUGAGAGGAUGACCAGCCACACUGGGACUGAGACACGGCCCAGACUCCUACGGGAGGCAGCAGUGGGGAAUCUUGCACAAUGGACGAAAGUCUGAUGCAGCAAUUUCGCGUGAAGGAUGAAGCAUUACGGUGUGUAAACUUCUUUUUUGGAGGAAGACGAAUGACGGUACUUCAAGAAUAAGAGACGGCUAACUACGUGCCAGCAGCCGCGAUAAUACGUAGGUCUCAAGCGUUAUCCGGAUUUACUGGGCGUAAAGUGUCCGUAGUCUGAUCUGUAAGUCUGUUUUCAAAUCCUACGACUCAAUCGUAGAAAGGGAAUGGAUACUGCAGAUCUAGAAGUAUCUAGGGGUUAGUGGAAUUUCCGGUGGAGCGGUGAAAUGCGUUGAUAUCGGAAGGAACGCCGAAAGCGAAAGCAGCUAACUAUAGAAUACUUGACGAUGAGGGACGACAGUUUGGGGAGCAAACAGGAUUAGAUACCCUGGUAGUCCAAACCGUAAAUUAUGCUUGCUAGAUGUUUUUAUCAGUUUACUGGUAGGAGUGUCGUAAUCUAACGAGUUAAGCAAGCCGCCUGGGUAGUAUAUUCGCAAGAAUGAAACUCAAAGGGAUAGGCGGGGGAACACACAAGCAGUGGAUUAUCUAGAUUAAUUGGAUAAUAAGCCAAGAAUCUUACCUAGGAUUGACAUGUAUUGUGUCUCAGGUGAAAGCCUGAUAUCCGUAGCAAUACGGAGCUUUACACAGGUGGUGCAUGGUCGUCGUCAGCUCGUGCCGCAAGGUGUCUAGUUAAGUCUGGAAACGAGCGCAACCCUCGUGUUUAGUUAGUAUGUCUAAACAGACUGCUCGGGUAACCGAGAGGAAGGAGAGGAUGACGUCAGAUCCUCAUGCCCCUUACACCUAGGGCCUCAUAGAUAAUACAAUGGGUAGGUACAGCGAGAAGCAAAACCGCGAGGUGGAGCAAAUCUUUAAAACUGCCCUUAGUUCGGAUUGUACUCUGGAACUCGAGUACAUGAAGUUGGAAUUGCUAGUAAUGGCAGAUCAGCCAUGCUGCCGUGAAUACGUCCCUGUUCCU
rnacentral:rRNA from 1 species